UCACUCUCAGUGUCUGACUCU
rnacentral:misc_RNA from 1 species